CUUAGGGGGUCACUGUAAGACAGCAGCACUUGGUGCCUCAGCUCUGCUAGUGUCUACAAUGUAAAGUAAGACAAGCUCAGGCUUUGUCAGGGUACUCUCCUGUCCCUGUUAUUGUGGGCACACACCCUAAGGACUCCAGUGGGAGUGAAGUGCAAUGAUGGUACUGAAAUCUAAACAUUUCUCUGUGUCUCCUUCCCCACUCAGAGUGAGACAGAGGGUCCCCAGCACAAAGGCUACAGUCUUGUCAGUUCCUGAAUAUGUCAUAUUAACCAUCAUGAACUCUUGAUCUGGGUCUGCUCAUUAGGAACCCAGAGAAGCUGGAUAAGCCUAUUGCUUCUUAGAAGCUGCCAGUUCCUGACUGAUCCUGUAAGGCUCAAGCCCAUCACACCCAGAAAGCUCCCCAGACUCUUUCCUGAACUCACUACAUCUUCCCCAGGACCACUGAUUUCUCCAUUCUUUCCAGUGAGACCUAGGGUCAGCUUCCUUCUGCCUUGCUCUGGUAUCUCCACGAAGUCCAUUCUCUCUAUCAAGUAGAUGCCUAAGUCUUGACAACAUGUCUAUAGAAAAACUGUAUAGACAUUGAACGAAUAUCCUAAAGGCACUUGGUGUCGCUACAACACUAUUGACCUCACAGGGGAUUCCAAGAGCUCUGCUCUCCAGGAUACAAUAGAAUUUCCAGAGAAGGGACUCCUGAUGUCACAAGGAACAGCUUUUGCCUCCUGGCUAACAAAUUCUCCCUGAACUGAACAGAAGCUGAGAUUUCUUUUCCAGGAGUCUCUCCUGUGAUACAGGUGAAGCCAUUCAGUAGUACCUCCUCUUCUAAAGCUGGGAAUUUUUCUCUGCUUCCUUAGAAUCUUUUCACUACUUUACCCAUGGAGAGUUGAACACUCACUUUAUAAGCACUGCCCAAGAAUGGACCUUCCUCUCCUUAACAACCAUACUCAAUAAUAUGAGAAAUAAAGUAUGUCAAGGAAUUAGAUUAGGAUGAUGUGGAGGAGGACGGUUGAGUUCUCUGAAGUGAGCAAGCACCUGAGGAAUGCUAAGGUUAAGAGAAGACGGCCAUGGAGAAUUUGAAGGUGGGGUUCCUGAAGAUGAUAAUGACACAACUCAUUGAACAUGGAGAAGUCAAGCUAGUGUCUCCCUAGAGUCUUCACCACUUAUGGACUAGAUUUCAUGGCACUGAAGAGUACUCUGCUCACUAUCAAAGGAGAAAGCCAUCAUAGGAGCAGCUUCCAUCUGCAGCAGAUGGGAACAAAUACAGAGACCCUCAUCUAGACAAUAUGCAGAGAGGAAGAGAACUUGAACACUCAACCCUAAACUGGACCUCUCCAAUCAGACUCCUCCCCUCAGGACAUAGGGAACCCUUUGGAAGAGGAGGCUCCAUCCACUCUGGCUGGUGUGAAGCUUCCUCCCAACACUGCUUAGCUGGACCAUCAAGAGGGAGUCCUAUCCACACCUCCACCACCAGGAGUGUCUUCUCAAUUCUGCAUCUCAUCAGAUGGUCCUAAUCUUCAUUGUCAUCCAGGACGAGAUGUGACAGAUCUGCUCCAACCCUGACAAUAAGCAAUGCUGGAGCAGGAUCUUGAACCCACCAAUGCCUUGCAUCGAUGCUUGGCAUCCUAAGACAAUUAGCAUGCCUACAUCAUGUAUUUGUCUGUACUGGUCUCCUGAAAUUUCUCUUUGCUUGGGGGUGAUUCAGUCAAACUAAUAUAGCACACAUGGCUAGAAGGACAAAAGUCAAGUGCAGGGUCUGAAGAGAUGGCUGCCGCAUUUUGAGUAGUUUCUCUCCCAAAGGACCAACAGAGCAGCUAAAAAGCCACUGUAACUCCAGGUUCAGGUGGAAUCUGAUGCCAUCUUCUGGCCUCUGGUGGAAUUGCAUGCAUGUGGUGUGCAGCCCUGCUGCAGGCAAAAUGUCCAUGCAUACAAAUAAAAGAAAUAAAUCUUUAACAAAUGGAACCCAUUAGUAGCUAAGGUCAAAAAAGUCCCAACAUAUCUUGGAAUUCAUACUGUCUUCAGUCUGGUAUUUCACUGAUGCUAUAUUUUAAGGAAACCAGAGGCAGAUAGCUCUGGUUUUUCUAUUUUUUUAUUUUAAAUGUU